UUAUUUUCUCCUCUUUAUCUCUAAACCCUAGGAAUAGAGUAGUGAGGAGAAGCUUGUGGAGCUGAGUUCUUCUUGCUGUUGGAGCUAAGAAGAAACCUGUAGAGCUAAAAAGGAGGUUGAUGAAGCCGAAGAACACUUUUGGGAAGCUUCAAGUUCAGGUAAACUUAGUAUUUAAUCCCUGGUUGAGGAGUAUUAGAGACUAUGAAGAUGAAUUGUGAAGUGCUAUUGGCAGACUUGGGUUUUGGGUAGUUGAUGCUGUCGAGUUGAAGAACUUAGCUGAACAAGCACCAAAUUCGGUGGCUGUGAGAGAAAGGCUUGGUGGAAUUGAGGGUCCUUGUUGUUCCAAGCUGAGAAGAAUUGGAAUGAGCUACGAAUUAGGAAUUAUAAAAGAAAAAGAAAGUAAAAUGCUGAAAUUCCUACUGUGAAGGAAUUUCCUACUAGUUGGAGCUGCCGAAUUGGAGGAUUGGGCUAUGUGAAGCACUAAGAAGGUGUGCUGUGAAGAGCAGUGUGAGGCUGCUGCUUGGUGACUUUGGUCACCCAGAUUGGAGGAAGCUAGGUGGAACUCCCUUGGUGUCCGAGCUGCAGAGAGGCUGAUAAAGCUUUACACUCAGGUCGGUGACGCACUAAUUACGGUAGAAGUCGUUUAAGCUCUAUUUGCACGAAGUCGUGAGAGCUCGUUAUUGACACAGUUCGAGACAUUAAUUCUAGCUGUUGGCAUCCCUACAGGUUCCAGCGCGAGCGGUGUGGCCGAGGAUCGCGCCAAGAGCCCAACAGCUUAGCUAGCAGACACCCGAGUUUAGUGGUAUACCAUUUUGGGUUUCAUGUUGUACAUAAUGAUGAACAGAGAGAUAUGUAAAUAGAAAUGUAAAUGAAAGUGUAAAUAACUAAAUGCUUUAGUUAUCCAGUUUUAUAGUUCAGUUUUAAA